UUUCAAUCCUCUCGGCCUCAUGUCUUCCCGGCCACUGUUGUGGCGACCAGGUCCAGGCAGGCAUUGAUCUGACAGCAUCUCAUUCUCUUGCUUCCUGCCCUACGGCUCCUUGGAUGCCAGAUGCUGGAGGGCCCAGACUCUGCUUUCAGGGAAACCCAGGCUAAAACAACCCAUUAUAAGAUGAUCCUACUUUCUUGGAAAUGCUGCAUUA